AUUGAACGCUGGCGGCAUGCUUUACACAUGCAAGUCGAACGGUAACAGGCCGCAAGGUGCUGACGAGUGGCGAACGGGUGAGUAAUGUAUCGGAACGUGCCCAGUCGUGGGGGAUAACGCAGCGAAAGCUGUGCUAAUACCGCAUACGAUCUAUGGAUGAAAGCGGGGGACCGUAAGGCCUCGCGCGAUUGGAGCGGCCGAUAUCAGAUUAGGUAGUUGGUGGGGUAAAGGCUCACCAAGCCGACGAUCUGUAGCUGGUCUGAGAGGACGACCAGCCACACUGGGAAUGAGACACGGCCCAGACUCCUACGGGAGGCAGCAGUGGGGAAUUUUGGACAAUGGGGGGAACCCUGAUCCAGCAACGCCGCGUGAAUGAAGAAGGCCUUAGGGUUGUAAAGUUCUUCUAUCUGGGAGCAAAAGGUUAGUAUUAAUAGUGCUAAUUGUUGAGAGUACCAGAAGAAUAAGCACCGGCUAACUACGUGCCAGCAGCCGCCGUAACAC
rnacentral:rRNA from 1 species